rnacentral:rRNA from 1 species
ACGGCUCAGUAACACGUGGCUAACCUACCCUUAGGACGUGGACAACCCCGGGAAACUGGGGCUAACAUCUGAUAGGUGAGGAGGCCUGGAAUGGUUCCUCCCUGAAAAGGCGUUGAAACCAUGUUUUUCAGCGUCGCCUAAGGAUGGGGCCGCGCCCGAUCAGGUUGUUGGUGGGGUAACGGCUCACCAAGCCAUUAACCGGUACGGGCCGUGAGAGCGGGAGCCCGGAGAUGGGCACUGAGACAAGGGCCCAGGCCCUACGGGGCGCAGCAGUCGCGAAAACUCCGCAAUGCGCGAAAGCGUGACGGGGCUACCCCGAGUGCCGUCCGCUGAGGAUGGCUUUUCCCCGGUGUAAUGAGCCGGGGGAAUAAGGAGAGGGCAAGACUGGUGUCAGCCGCCGCGGUAAUACCAGCUCUCCGAGUGGUAGGGACAAUUAUUGGGCUUAAAGCGUCCGUAGCCGGCUUGGCAAGUCUCCUGUUAAAUUCAGCGACUUAAUCGUUGAGCCGCGGGAGAUACUACUAGGCUAGGAGGCGGGAGAGGCCGACGGUAUUCCCGGGGUAGGGGUGAAAUCCUAUAAUCCCGGGAGGACCACCAGUGGCGAAGGCUGUCGGCUAGAACGCGCUCGACGGUGAGGGACGAAAGCUGGGGGAGCGAACCGGAUUAGAUACCCGGGUAGUCCCAGCCGUAAACGAUGCGGGCUAGGUGUUGAGGUGGCUACGAGCCACUUCAGUGCCGCAGGGAAGCCAUUAAGCCCGCCGCCUGGGGAGUACGGCCGCAAGGCUGAAACUUAAAGGAAUUGGCGGGGGAG